AGAUGCGAUCAUACCUGCACUAACGCACCGGAUCCCAUCAGAACUCCGAAGUCAAGUGUACUUGGGCGAGAGUAGUACUAGGAUGGGUGACACCCUGGGAAGUGCUCGUGUUGCAUCCC
rnacentral:rRNA from 1 species